GUAAAAACCCAAGGGCAGAGUACAGAAUAUUUGAUAGAGUCCUAACCUCAACAUCUGAGGAAAGGGAUUUAGGGGUGAUUAUUUCUGAUGACUUAAAGGUAGGCAGACAAUGUAAUAGAGCAGCAGGAAAUGCUAGCAGAAUGCUUGGUUGUAUAGGGAGAGGUAUUAGCAGUAGAAAGAGCGAAGUGCUCAUGCCAUUGUACAGAACACUGGUGAGACCUCACUUGGAGUAUUGUACACAGUACUGGAGACCGUAUCUUCAGAAGGAUAUUGAUACCUUAGAGAGGGUUCAGAGAAGGGCUACUAAACUGGUUCAUGGAUUGCGGGAUAAAAC